AUUAACGAGCACACACGUACGAAGGGAGUUCGGCGUUUCUAAACGACGUAUGACGCAUGUCGAACGGGUUAUUGGCUUUCGGGCAUUGGAGCGGGAAGUGCGGAGAAUUCGUGGCGGCGCUAAAAGGAGCACGUAAGGCGAGGUAAGCAGCCGAGAACCUGGGAUGAGGAUCUUUUAAGCACCAUGUCGCUAUAUUUAGGGCUCAUCCUUAUCUUCGACGACCCCUUCUAACCGCAGUUUUGAAUUGCGGCGCGCGCACCGUCGCUAACCGCCGGUCCACAUCGCUGGUGAUUUCACGAUGGGGUCGAAGGAAGGGGUUGCUCGUACGACAGAGACAGGUAUACGGGACUGAAGGAUGACAAGUUAUAGGGAAGCAGGAUAGAGGACAGGUGAACGCGGGGAGGUCGCGAGAAUGGACGAAGAUCGAGACAUCGAGACGGAGGACGAACGGACGAAAAGGACGAAAGGGGGAGGGCGGAGGGAGAAGGAUCGUCGGGCGAACGCCGGAGAAGAAGCGAACGCGACACGAAACAUCGGGGGUAGAAGAAAGCCGACAGAGUGAAAUAAAGACAUAACGAGUUGGUGAAAAAGAGCAAGAACAAAGGAUAAUGGGGAAGGAAGGGAAGGAGGAAAGAGUGGAAGAGAAGCGAAGGGUGGGGUAGAGAGAAAGAGAGAUUAGCUGGUAGGGGUAGGUAACCCAGCAAGUGGCCAGAGGUGAGAGAGUAGGAUAGUCGGUGGUAUAGAGAGACAUGGGGGAUGAAGCUGCUCAUGGAGGAAAGGGUAUAAUGAAGCUGCGCGGGAGAGGUGGACGCUGGAGAGAGGUCGAUGAAGAGAAGGGGUGAAGAACGGGCCGUAGAACGGAAAGAGAGGUUGGCAAUGCGAGAACCAGCCGGAAGGAGAAAGAGGGUGAACGGUAGGGGUUGAGAGAGGGAAACGGAGGAGUAUGUGACGCUCAGAAUUCUGGUGGGAGCGCCAACCGGGGUGGGACAGACGAGUGGCGCGAAGAGAGAGGGGUGUAAAGAGGGGUUUGAACGAAGGGACAGAGCCAUAAGAGGGUUGAUGGUGGCCCGGGUUGGCCUCAGUAGCACAGUCGCGCGCCAAACUCUCGAAGGAAAGCACGUACUCGGUUCAACGCGCUUCCGCACCUACUAUCUUCCAGCCAGAUUUUUUCCCCCGUUCCCUCACUCUCACCACCUACGCAUACUUUACCCUGCUCAUCUUCCGCUUAACCUUUCAAAGGCAUCUCACGAUCCAGCAAACCGCCAGUAACUUAUUCACCACCGAUUUCUGGUCCAAUCCACGCGCGAUACUUUAGCCUGUGACUGCCGAUAAACCGAUGAGACCGAUCGAAGAUCAACCAAACGACGACGUCUGCCGACCAAUUGCUCGCCGAUCAAAACGAAUAACGCCGGGGGAUCAACGAAUACGACUACCAGGUGUUGGAGUAUCUCGAAGGGGAAGCCAGAAAUCGGGUCAGAUCGAUUCGUGCCCUCAGAGAUCAGACGAAACAGCGUGUUGCGUGAAACUCGAUGAUACCGCCUUACGCCCACGGCUCUUUGCUCAUCCAAUAAUUGCGAUACGCUUGGCAAUCAGCCGCAAGACAAACUGAAACUUGCGACGAGACACGAGUUGACGUCGAUACGUGUUCAUGCGUGCCGCGGGAAACAAUCGUCGAACUUGAGACAUCUAUAUGGGAAUACCCAAGGAACUUUAAUUUAUAUCAAGACUAUCGAUUAGAAUAUUCGAUUUCGAAAUUAUUUACGAUAUUCGUGAUCUAAGAAUAAUUAAUAAUUUAUAUCAUCUUAAUUCUACCGUAAGAAAUAAUAUUUAACGUGUAAAUCGAAAGAAAUAUCGUCCGUUUCCAUUUACGUAACGUGCCUGUUCCAUGGUUGACUCGCACCACUGCGACCAGUUUAAUCACGGGGUCGACGUCUCACGGUAUGUCAGGACAGUGGAAACGCAAACUCCCGCCGAGGAGACGGUCAGGACGUAUCUCUUUGCCGCGAACGAAACGCAUCAGGAUAUCUAAAUUCAUUACCGGUUGUUUCGCGAAGUUUAAUUAAAUAAGAAACUUGGAAGGAUCUUUUGUUCGGCCGGCGACGAGAGAGAAACAGAGGAGGAAGGUAACAACGAGGAAAUGUUGAACGAAGCUGGAAGAAGAAUAAGAAUGACAAAGAAGAAGAAGAAGUAGAAGAAGAAGAAGAAGAAGAAGAAGGAAAAGAAGAAGAGGAAAAUUGAAGGAGAGCGUGGGAAGAUGGAUGCCAGGAUAAUCGACAAAGUAGAAAUUGUUCGUCGAUCGUUCAACGCGAAAGAUUAACGCGUUGUUAUAUGGGAUAUUUAUGCCAUGUGCACAUAUUAUUUCCUUUUUCUUUUACGCUGCUGUUGCGUAGCUAUCGAUCGAUAAGAACUUCAGCCGCAAGCGGUUUCCGUAACGUAACGGAUACAUAAACAUGCAUAGUUAUGCGAGGAAUUCAAAUAAACGUUCGACGCUGGCAAUCUGGAAAAAAGCACGCGCUCCUUUUCCACGCCCAUAUACCAUCGGGGAUCGCAAACUUUCACAAUUAGCACAACGUAAUUUCGAAGCGGGCCCUUGCACGCGCUUUCGUCCACUUAUUCAAGGCAUUGUUACCAUGUUCUUCCUUUGCUUUACCAGCGACACUGCAAUUUCUCGAAUUGCAAAAAUCAUGUUACCCGCGGCUAACUUAUUAAAACGUUUCCGUCAGCGAACUCGGUUAAUAACGACCAGCGGCUGCGCGAGCAAAUAAAAUUCUUGACGAAUAGAAAAA